ACUGAAUAUAAAAUUCGCAACUUCAGUUUGAUUUACGCUAUACAUAUAUCAUCUGUGAUUUACCCUCUCCCUCUUCUCGAAAUACAAUAACUGACAAGUUUUCAAAAGUCUCGAAAGACGCGGUAUAUUCAUAAUUUUUUAUCGAAUGAUGAUUGUAUUUAAGUUAGCCUUUAAAGAUGGAUAGUGAAUACUAUAAAUUCCUGAAAGAAAUCGAUUGCAAACAAGGGGCUGUCAGAUCUGUACGAUUUAGCGUUGACGGUUCUUACUGUAUAACAUGCGGAUCGGACAGAAAAAUAAAAUUAUGGAAUCCGUACAAAUCCGUUACAUUAAAAACGUAUGGUGGACAUGGUGACGAGGUUAUGGACGGCUGUGCGUCCUGUGAUAGCAGCCAAAUCGUAUCCUGUGGUUUGGAUAAAUCUGUAAUCCUUUGGGAUGUAGCAACUGGUACGCCUGUACGCCGUUUCAGAGGUCAUGCAGGUCCAGUUACAACAGUAAAAUUCAACGAAGAAUCAUCGAUGAUAAUCUCUGGUUCUCGUGAUAACAGCGUUAUGUGUUGGGAUGCACGUUCCAAAGCGCAAGAAGCAGUACAGUCACUGAAUGAUGCCAAAGAUUCUAUUUCGAGUAUAAGAGUUUCAGAUCACGAAAUCUUGUCUGCUUCUUUUGAUGGCAAAGUACGUACCUACGAUAUACGUAUAGGAGAACUAUGCGCAGAUUAUAUGGGAGAUCCAAUUACAUGCGCUAGUUUUACCAGAGAUGGCCAAUGUCUAAUCGUCAGUUGUGCAGAUGAUUCAAUUAGAUUGAUUGAUAAAGAUUCGGGAGAACUACUUGGUGAAUUUAAAGGUCAUACUGGAAAAGAUCUUUGUCUGGAAUCGAGCGUAGAUUGCCAAGAUACAAAAAUUCUUUCGGGCUCGGCGGAUGGAAAGUUAUGGAUUUGGGAUCUUGUAUCUCAGAAAGUGGUUGCAAAACUCUCGGGAAUUAAACCAACUAAGUAUGCUACUGUAUCCAUAAGUGUUCAUCCACAGAAGAAUUGCUUUUUAGCCUCCAAUGGAUCUAACGUGUUAAUGUGGAGUACCUCAUCUCAGACAGAUGAUGAGUAAUGAGAGCACGACGGUUCGCAGAACAGAGAGUGGGGAACCUGCGCGCGCAGGUGGCGCGAUGUCGGUACGUCAACACUCGGCGUGUCUCACUGGUCGGCGUAGUCUCGCCCGGGGAGCGCGAGAGAGAGGAGUUAAUGGCCGACUGAACGCGGCAGAGCGAAACAGCACAGAGCGCGAAAGAAACCGGCUGAAUCACGGUAGUGGAUUGAAGAACGCGGAGUACGAACUUAUUUCGUGACAUUCUCUGUCGCCGAUUACGCUGAAGCCCCUGGACGCAUCACAUGAUAAUCCGCCACUGCCGAAUCGACAUAGCGAGCAAGAAAGAUAGGGAAAAGAGGGAGAAGGACAGAUAUAUCUCGUGAGACCCGCGAAGGUGGCUGCAUACGGGGCGGGCCGGUCAGUCUCGCCACUUUGCGGAAUAUUUUUCUUGCCGCGCUGUAACCGUAAAAAAGAGAGUGAGUGACAGAAAGAGCAGAGACAAGCUUUGCCGGGAAAAUAUAGAGCGAACGAGAGAGAAAAAGAAUGGGUUUUCGGACUUUGCAGCUUCGCGAAUACUUAUGUAGAGCGAAAGCUACUUGACCGCGUGGUCUUGCGAGGUUCCAGCAGUGACCAUCUCGUCCGACAGUGGUGUGUAUUGUUAUUGUUGUUGAUCGAUAUUCACAAGAGGAAGAGAGACAGAAGAAAGAGAGAGAGAGAGAGGGAGGAAGCCGGCAAGAGGGCAAGCGAGAGACGGUGAGAAGAAACUCGUGAUACCGAGAGGUUGGCAACGGUGGUGGCGGCUGCUGCUGCAUACUGGGUGGUGGUGGUGCGCCCUGACACAGUGGUGGAACGAAGGCAGGAAGGACACGACCGUGAGAAGAAAGAG